GUUUCGGCUGUUCGUUUCGACUGUUCAUUUGCAUCCACGAGCGCCGUGGAGGGAGGGGAUGGGAUGGCAGCAGUGAGCUCGGUCUGUGUCCUGCCUCUCGCGCCGCUGAGCCAGUGAGCCGUGCUGCUAGGAAUGUGUUGUAGGGAGGAGGGAAAAGGGCUUCGAGUACUCCGCAACUCGCGAGGUAUGGACUGCGGCGCGGACGCCCUGCUGCUGCUGCCAUGGCCGGGGAUGCGGAGUUGCCUCUCGAAGAGGCGGAGGCCGCGAUGAGAUCCGCCGACGACGACAGCGUCACGGCCACGGUGGUCAAUAUGUACCACUUUUAAUAUUUGAUGGACCAGUUAACAAAAGCUUUACCUGAUCGAAUCCUAAAAUGACUUACAUUUGGCAUAGGAUGCAUUAGUUACUAGUUAGAGCAGCUGGCACCUCCCUUCGUCAAUAAACCAUAUUUCCUGUACGAGGCUGGCCGUUGUCAUGUUUAUGUUCCUCAUGUGAAAUCUGAUCAUACAACUGAUCUUAUCUACUUAGAUGAUACUGCACACAGCUGUCAUGUUUAUGUUCCUCAUGUGAAAUCCGACCUUAUAGCUGAUCACCUAUGCUAUGUAUCUACCAUAUUUAGAUGAUACUGUAUACUUAAGUUAGUCUUUGCCUAGCUACUCUGUCCGCUCGAAUUAAUUUUAUGCACAUUAUGUGUGCUGCUUAUGCUAAUAAUGCUCUUAAGAUGCAUGUGUCUUACUGUCUUCAACAUGUCCUUUUCUCAGGUUUUAUGUCAUUAUGAAGACUGGUUAGCUCCUUGCUUUUGUUAGGUCUGUUCAAAUUAGCCUGAUUUCUUCUCAUUUAUUCAAGUUUGUGAGUAACAAGUUAUUGUACAACAGAUGCUUCGUAAAUUCUAUGUCGCACUUGAACCACAUCGUGCUUCAAUCUGAAUCUUGCAGUAAUAACAUGUUUUGAUCAGUUGCGUUUCUGGGGUGUUCAUAUAUGGUGCCUUUCACACCAAAAGGUGAUAGGGCUGUUACUGGUGUUGGGGGGAUGAACACCUCGGCACUUUGGAUGAAUUUGAUAUUAUUAACAUCAAAUCUGCCUGAAUUGUUGUGCAAUAUACACUAAUAACUCUGAAACUGAAAUCUUGUAUCUUAUAUUUCUCUGUUGCUUGCAUGUUGAAACUGGGGCUGGUUAGGCAUUGACUUCUGGAUAGGGACCUUGGAAACAGAAGCUACAUCUACAUUUAAUAUUAUAUAAAUUUCUGUUUGUUAUUCUUCUAGAAGAGCAAAAUAUCUUGAUCGUUCCUUUGUGAAUUGUGCCAAGUGAGCUGUGAGGAUAUAUAGAGAAGGUGGGAAUGGACUGGCUACCUUGCCUACCUAUUGCUGGACUAUGGUCUAUGGAGUUUGGAGUAUGGACAUUUGCAGCCUCCGCAUAGCCUGGUGAUUGGGAAUGGACAUGUUUUUUAAAGAUGUGUCUUGUAUCGAUUAUUUUUCUUCUAAAAUGAAGUUGAUGGUGUUGAAAUUGCUUCAUCGACUUUGGAAUAGCAGAGGCUGUGGGCUGUGGCUAGACCACAAGGAAUGGGGAGGAAGCUUCUUGUCAGCUCUCCCUUUCUUCGCAGACAAGGAGUUAUGUAUCGUGUAUUCAUGACUGAUUGAGCAUGACAGCAUCUGAAGUUUCUUUGUUCGUUGUGUAGAUCUGACCUAUCUACCCCUGACGUGGAGCACAUGCCAAACUUUAUUGACUUUUGGAAUCUGGCUAUUUUGUUCCUGUACAUGUGAAGGUCAAUUGGUCUGGGGUUUUUAAAAUACAGUAAUUGGUUUACGGGUUUUUUUGUUUAACCAGAAAAUGUGCCGUAUAAUUAAGGGAAAAAAAUAAUAUAAUAGCUUAAGGAGACCUUUUUGA